GCCGAUGUGAUGGAAUUGGCAGACGUGCUGGACUCAAAAUCCAGUGGUAGCGAUACCGUGCCGGUUCGACCCCGGCCAUCGGCACCA
rnacentral:tRNA from 1 species